rnacentral:rRNA from 1 species
GAUGAACGCUGGCGGCGUGCCUAAUACAUGCAAGUCGAGCGAACAGAUGAGGAGCUUGCUCCUCUGACGUUAGCGGCGGACGGGUGAGUAACACGUGGAUAACCUACCUAUAAGACUGGGAUAACUUCGGGAAACCGGAGCUAAUACCGGAUAAUAUAUUGAACCGCAUGGUUCAAUAGUGAAAGACGGUUUUGCUGUCACUUAUAGAUGGAUCCGCGCCGCAUUAGCUAGUUGGUAAGGUAACGGCUUACCAAGGCGACGAUGCGUAGCCGACCUGAGAGGGUGAUCGGCCACACUGGAACUGAGACACGGUCCAGACUCCUAAGGGAGGCAGCAGUAGGGAAUCUUCCGCAAUGGGCGAAAGCCUGACGGAGCAACGCCGCGUGAGUGAUGAAGGUCUUCGGAUCGGAAAACUCUGUUAUUAGGGAAGAACAAAUGUGUAAGUAACUAUGCACGUCUUGACGGUACCUAAUCAGAAAGCCACGGCUAACUACGUG